rnacentral:rRNA from 1 species
GACGAACGCUGGCGGCGUGCCUAACACAUGCAAGUCGAGCGAUUCUCUUCGGAGAAGAGCGGCGGACGGGUGAGUAACGCGUGGGUAACCUGCCUUGUACACACGGAUAACAUACCGAAAGGUAUGCUAAUACGAGAUAAUAUGCUUUUAUCGCAUGGUAGAAGUAUCAAAGCUUUUGCGGUACAGGAUGGACCCGCGUCUGAUUAGCUAGUUGGUAAGGUAACGGCUUACCAAGGCGACGAUCAGUAGCCGACCUGAGAGGGUGAUCGGCCACAUUGGAACUGAGACACGGUCCAAACUCCUGCGGGAGGCAGCAGUGGGGAAUAUUGCACAAUGGGCGAAAGCCUGAUGCAGCAACGCCGCGUGAGCGAUGAAGGCCUUCGGGUCGUAAAGCUCUGUCCUCAAGGAAGAUAAUGACGGUACUUGAGGAGGAAGCCCCGGCUAACUACGUGCCAGCCGCCGCAGUAA